rnacentral:misc_RNA from 1 species
GAAAUGCGAUAAGUAGUGUGAAUUGCAGAAUUCAGUGAAUCAUCGAAUCUUUGAACGCACAUUGCGCCCUUUGGUAUUCCUUAGGGCAUGCCUGUUCGAGCGUCAUCUAAACCUUCAAGCCCUGCUUGGUGUUGGGUGCCUGUCCCGCCUCCGCGCGCAGACUCACCUCAAAUCCAUUGGCGGCCCCCGCGUCGGCCACGAGCGCAGCAGAAACGCGAACUCGUGAGCCCGUCCGGGCGGCUCCCAGAAGCUACACCCACCCAGUUUGACCUCGGAUCAGGUAGGGAUACCCGCUGAACUUAAGC